rnacentral:rRNA from 1 species
UUGAACGCUGGCGGCAGGCCUAACACAUGCAAGUCGAGCGGUAGCACAGAGAGCUUGCUCUCGGGUGACGAGCGGCGGACGGGUGAGUAAUGUCUGGGAAACUGCCUGAUGGAGGGGGAUAACUACUGGAAACGGUAGCUAAUACCGCAUAACGUCGCAAGACCAAAGUGGGGGACCUUCGGGCCUCAUGCCAUCAGAUGUGCCCAGAUGGGAUUAGCUAGUAGGUGGGGUAACGGCUCACCUAGGCGACGAUCCCUAGCUGGUCUGAGAGGAUGACCAGCCACACUGGAACUGAGACACGGUCCAGACUCCUACGGGAGGCAGCAGUGGGGAAUAUUGCACAAUGGGCGCAAGCCUGAUGCAGCCAUGCCGCGUGUGUGAAGAAGGCCUUCGGGUUGUAAAGCACUUUCAGCGGGGAGGAAGGCGAUAAGGUUAAUAACCUUGUCGAUUGACGUUACCCGCAGAAGAAGCACCGGCUAACUCCGUGCCAGCAGCCGCGGUAAUACGGAGGGUGCAAGCGUUAAUCGGAAUUACUGGGCGUAAAGCGCACGCAGGCGGUCUGUCAAGUCGGAUGUGAAAUCCCCGGGCUCAACCUGGGAACUGCAUUCGAAACUGGCAGGCUAGAGUCUUGUAGAGGGGGGUAGAAUUCCAGGUGUAGCGGUGAAAUGCGUAGAGAUCUGGAGGAAUACCGGUGGCGAAGGCGGCCCCCUGGACAAAGACUGACGCUCAGGUGCGAAAGCGUGGGGAGCAAACAGGAUUAGAUACCCUGGUAGUCCACGCCGUAAACGAUGUCGAUUUGGAGGUUGUGCCCUUGAGGCGUGGCUUCCGGAGCUAACGCGUUAAAUCGACCGCCUGGGGAGUACGGCCGCAAGGUUAAAACUCAAAUGAAUUGACGGGGGCCCGCACAAGCGGUGGAGCAUGUGGUUUAAUUCGAUGCAACGCGAGGAGGCUUACAUGGUCUUGACAUCCACAGAACUUUCCAGAGAUGGAUUGGUGCCUUCGGGAACUGUGAGACAGGUGCUGCAUGGCUGUCGUCAGCUCGUGUUGUGAAAUGUUGGGUUAAGUCCCGCAACGAGCGCAACCCUUAUCCUUUGUUGCCAGCGGUUAGGCCGGGAACUCAAAGGAGACUGCCAGUGAUAAACUGGAGGAAGGUGGGGAUGACGUCAAGUCAUCAUGGCCCUUACGACCAGGGCUACACACGUGCUACAAUGGCAUAUACAAAGAGAAGCGACCUCGCGAGAGCAAGCGGACCUCAUAAAGUAUGUCGUAGUCCGGAUUGGAGUCUGCAACUCGACUCCAUGAAGUCGGAAUCGCUAGUAAUCGUAGAUCAGAAUGCUACGGUGAAUACGUUCCCGGGCCUUGUACACACCGCCCGUCACACCAUGGGAGUGGGUUGCAAAAGAAGUAGGUAGCUUAACCUUCGGGAGGGCGCUUACCACUUUGUGAUUCAUGACUGGGGUG